AUCUAUCUGAAGAGUCCCAAAUAGGACGAAACGUGCGUCAAACUGGAU
rnacentral:hammerhead_ribozyme from 1 species